rnacentral:rRNA from 1 species
UACGGAGGAUCCAAGCGUUAUCCGGAUUUAUUGGGUUUAAAGGGUGCGUAGGCGGCCUGUUAAGUCAGGGGUGAAAGACGGUAGCUCAACUAUCGCAGUGCCCUUGAUACUGAUGGGCUUGAAUGGACUAGAGGUAGGCGGAAUGAGACAAGUAGCGGUGAAAAUGCAUAGAUAUGUCUCAGAACACCGAUUGCGAAGGCAGCUUACUAUGGUCUUAUUGACGCUGAGGCACGAAAGCGUGGGGAUCAAACAGG